ensembl:lncRNA
GGAGAUAGAGGAGAGACAGGGGGAAUGGAGGAGAGGAGGUGAUAGAGGAGAGACAGGGGGAAUGGAGGAGAGGAGGUGAUAGAGGAGAGACAGGGGGAAUGGAGGAGGUGAGGUGAUAGAGGAGAGACAGGGGGAAUGGAGGAGAGGAGGAGAUAGAGGAGAGACAGGGGGAAUGGAGGAGAGGAGGAGAUAGAGGAGAGACAGGGGGAAUGGAGGAGAGGAGGUGAUAGAGGAGAGACGGGGGAAUGGAGGAGGCGAGGUGAUAGAGGAGAGACAGGGGGAAUGGAGGAGAGGAGGUGAUAGAGGAGAGACAGGGGGAAUGGAGGAGAGGAGGUGAUAGAGGAGAGACAGUUGGGAAUGGAGGAGAGGAGGUGAUAGAGGAGAGAGAGGGGGAAUGGAGGAGAGGGGGUGAUAGAGGAGAGACAGGGUGAAUGGAGGAGAGG